rnacentral:siRNA from 1 species
UGUAAACCCGUGAUUUUCCCGCA